rnacentral:rRNA from 1 species
UCUGGUGACGAUAGCGAAGAGGUCACACCUGUUCCCAUGCCGAACACAGAAGUUAAGUUCUUCAGCGCCGAUGGUAGUUGGGGGCUUCCCCCUGCGAGAGUAGGACGUUGCCAGAC